AAACUCAAAUCCCUAAACCUAAACCUACACCUAAUCCUAAUCUCAACUCCAAUUCCCUAAACUUAAACCUAAACUUAUACCUAUUCUCUAUUCUCUAAACCUAAACAUAUAACCUAAACCUAUAACCUAGCCUAAUCUUAAAGCUAUUUCUGUAAACUGACUUUAGUCUUUUCAUUGUAGACAUGGAUAAGAGUUGGAUGCGAGCUAAGAACAGGUUUGGCCUAGAGUAUAAAUAAGGGGUUCAAGAGUUCAUGAAAUUUGUGCGAAAUCGGGCAGAGGGAGGAGCAGGAGAGGAGGAUGGAUGAGAUGCGGGUGGAGCAUGAGCGACGGAUGAUGGAGAUGUUUCAGGUUUUCGCUGCACACUUACCCAUCGAUGCCCCACUAACUCCGCCUUCAUCUUUGUGAUUUUUUGUAUAUUUGUUUAUGAUGUUAAGUUUAUAUGUAUUUAUGGGUGAAUGAAUGUGAUGCGGAUAAGAUUGUUUAUGUUUGGAUGAAUGUAGUUUAUGUUUGGGUUUGGGUUUAGAUGGAUGUGAAUGUGAAUAUGAUGAAAUAUAUUAUAUAACAGGUGUAUAUCAGGAUGAA